UCUAGCUACAGGCUUAACACAUGCAAGUCGAGGGGCAGCAUGGUCUUAGCUUGCUAAGGCCGAUGGCGACCGGCGCACGGGUGAGUAACACGUAUCCAACCUGCCGUCUACUCUUGGACAGCCUUCUGAAAGGAAGAUUAAUACAAGAUGGCAUCAUGAGUCCGCAUGUUCACAUGAUUAAAGGUAUUCCGGUAGACGAUGGGGAUGCGUUCCAUUAGAUAGUAGGCGGGGUAACGGCCCACCUAGUCUUCGAUGGAUAGGGGUUCUGAGAGGAAGGUCCCCCACAUUGGAACUGAGACACGGUCCAAACUCCUACGGGAGGCAGCAGUGAGGAAUAUUGGUCAAUGGGCGAGAGCCUGAACCAGCCAAGUAGCGUGAAGGAUGACUGCCCUAUGGGUUGUAAACUUCUUUUAUAAAGGAAUAAAGUCGGGUAUGGAUACCCGUUUGCGUGUACUUUAUGAAUAAGGAUCGGCUAACUCCGUGCCAGCAGCCGCGGUAAUACGGAGGAUCCGAGCGUUAUCCGGAUUUAUUGGGUUUAAAGGGAGCGUAGAUGGAUGUUUAAGUCAGUUGUGAAAGUUUGCGGCUCAACCGUAAAAUUGCAGGUGAUACUGGAUAUCUUGAGUGCAGUUGAGGCAGGCGGAAUUCGUGGUGUAGCGGUGAAAUGCUUAGAUAUCACGAAGAACUCCGAUUGCGAAGGCAGCCUGCUAAGCUGCAACUGACAUUGAGGCUCGAAAGUGUGGGUAUCAAACAGGAUUAGAUACCCUGGUAGUCCACACGGUAAACGAUGAAUACUCGCUGUUUGCGAUAUACUGCAAGCGGCCAAGCGAAAGCGUUAAGUAUUCCACCUGGGGAGUACGCCGGCAACGGUGAAACUCAAAGGAAUUGACGGGGGCCCGCACAAGCGGAGGAACAUGUGGUUUAAUUCGAUGAUACGCGAGGAACCUUACCCGGGCUUAAAUUGCAGAUGAAUUACGGUGAAAGCCGUAAGCCGCAAGGCAUCUGUGAAGGUGCUGCAUGGUUGUCGUCAGCUCGUGCCGUGAGGUGUCGGCUUAAGUGCCAUAACGAGCGCAACCCUUGUUGUCAGUUACUAACAGGUUCCGCUGAGGACUCUGACAAGACUGCCAUCGUAAGAUGUGAGGAAGGUGGGGAUGACGUCAAAUCAGCACGGCCCUUACGUCCGGGGCUACACACGUGUUACAAUGGGGGGUACAGAGGGCCGCUACCACGCGAGUGGAUGCCAAUCCCCAAAACCUCUCUCAGUUCGGACUGGAGUCUGCAACCCGACUCCACGAAGCUGGAUUCGCUAGUAAUCGCGCAUCAGCCACGGCGCGGUGAAUACGUUCCCGGGCCUUGUACACACCGCCCGUCAAGCCAUGGGAGCCGGGGGUACCUGAAGUGCGUAACCGCGAGGAGCGCCCUAGGGUAAAACUGGUGACUGGG
rnacentral:rRNA from 1 species